rnacentral:rRNA from 1 species
AUUGAACGCUGGCGGCAUGCCUUACACAUGCAAGUCGAACGGCAGCAUGGAAGAGCUUGCUCUUCUGAUGGCGAGUGGCGAACGGGUGAGUAAAGCAUCGGAACGUACCGUGUAGUGGGGGAUAACGUAGCGAAAGUUACGCUAAUACCGCAUACGCACUGAGGUGGAAAGCAGGGGAUCGCAAGACCUUGCGCUAUACGAGCGGCCGAUGUCAGAUUAGCUAGUUGGUAGGGUAAAGGCCUACCAAGGCGACGAUCUGUAGCGGGUCUGAGGGGAUGAUCCGCCACACUGGGACUGAGACACGGCCCAGACUCCUACGGGAGGCAGCAGUGGGGAAUUUUGGACAAUGGGGGAAACCCUGAUCCAGCCAUGCCGCGUGAGUGAAGAAGGCCUUCGGGUUGUAAAGCUCUUUCGGCUGGGAAGAAAUCGCACAGGCUAAUACUCUGUGUGGAUGACGGUACCAGCACAAGAAGCACCGGCUAACUACGUGCCAGCCGCCGCGGUAA